rnacentral:rRNA from 1 species
CACUGUCACUCCUACGGGGAGGCAGCAGUGGGGAAUAUUGCACAAUGGGCGCAAGCCUGAUGCAGCCAUGCCGCGUGUGUGAAGAAGGCCUUCGGGUUGUAAAGCACUUUCAGUCGUGAGGAAGGCGGGUACGUUAAUAGCGUAUUCGUUUGACGUUAGCGACAGAAGAAAGCACCGGCUAACUCCGUGCCAGCAGCCGCGGUAAUACGGAGGGUGCGAGCGUUAAUCGGAAUUACUGGGCGUAAAGCGCAUGCAGGUGGUUUGUUAAGUCAGAUGUGAAAGCCCGGGGCUCAACCUCGGAAUAGCAUUUGAAACUGGCAGACUAGAGUACUGUAGAGGGGGGUAGGAAUUUCAGGUGUAGCGGUGAAAUGCGUAGAGAUCUGAAGGAAUACCGGUGGCGAAGGCGGCCCCCUCGGACAGAUACUGACACUCAGAUGCGAAAGCGUGGGGAGCAAACAGGAUUAGAUACCCUGGUAG